UUAACACUACGGAUGCAAUAUGCUUUUGUCCACUACGCAUUUUGGCGCUGUUGCGCUGUUGAGCUGCUUUUUAAAAAUAUUGGCAGCCAUCUUUGAAUCAUUUGUUGUGGUCGGCGUUACUGAUGACAGAUAUCGGACUGACUUUUUACUCUCAGAAAGUUGCGUCUGUGUCCCCCUUUAGGUUUGAGCCCUCGUCCUCCCAACUGACCCUGUGGCUCUCCGCUGCAGCAGAACUGGCCCUUGAGUACCGCCAGAAGGGGACCACUACCUAGAAGAUCAAGAGGGUGGACAGGGUGUGCAUGGAGGCAAGGGACACAGUGGCACUGAAAGGAGGCGACCCCAGAGCGUGAUAUGCGCAGGCUGAUGGGUCGGGCGCCGAUACAGCUGUGUGAGCUAAAUCAAAGGGUACUCUCCCAAUGGUCCGUCAGAACACAGAGGGAGACAGAGAGGACUGUGGUGGCACCUUGACCAGGCACUGCAGACGGGCUCAGCGGGGGCGACCCAGAACCCAGCAGCAUCGGCAACGUAUCGUCCAGCAGCAGUGGACCCACAGCCCAGCAACAGUGGCAGUGUAUCGUCUGACAGCAGCGGCCGGUUCAGCAGUGGCGGUGUAUCGUCUGACAUAAGCCGACCCAGGGCCCAGCAGCAUCGGCAGUGUAUCGUCCAACAUUAGCUGACCCAGGGCCCAGCAGCAUCAGCAGUGACAGCAGCGCACCCAGGAUCCAGCAGCAAUGGCGCUGUAUCAGCAGCGGACCCAGGGCCAGCAGCAGUGUCUAACAGGCUUGUGCAAAAUUCCAGAAUGGAAUUGAAACUGGCUCUUAAAUUCCAAUUUAAUUCUUGAAUUUCACUUUCAAAUUCAAAUGAAUUUCACUUUCAAAUUCUUGAAUUUCACUUUCAAAUGAGGUAGCAAACAGGAAGCAGAAUUGCAAUUCGAAUUGUGCACAACCCUGGUGUCUAAGUGUAUCGUCCAGCAGCAGCCGACCCACACACACGCACACAGGCACACACACACACACACACAGGCACACACACACACACACACACACUUUGCCUUCUUCAGCUGGUGUUCAUUUAGUCAUAGUAUGCUGUUCUCCAAUGUUCUGUAAUUUUUUGUAUCACUUAAUAUAAUCCUUAAUAUAGUCUUACCAUGUCAUUGUUUUUUUUAUAUUAUUGAUGGAAUGGACAUUAUUGUUUAUUUUCGCUU